CGGUGAUACUCCAGAUAGCUAUGCCAUGGAGCCCAUUCGUAUAAUGAAAGACUAUGGGAAAGACUUUGGCUCCAUGGCAAUUGAACUGUAUGUGUGUGAUCUGAGCGCCAUUCAGUAAUAAUGUGCGCUCAGAUCUGAGCUAUCUGGGGAUAUGUUGAAUGUACCUGUUUUGUGCAAUGGCUGCACAGUUAUAUGUUUUUAUGUGUUUUAUUGUCUUUUGCUGCCAUGUGUUCAAUGGAGUUUUGCCUCUGUCCUAGGAG
rnacentral:lncRNA from 1 species